AGCGAACGCUGGCGGCAGGCUUAACACAUGCAAGUCGAGCGGGCGUAGCAAUACGUCAGCGGCAGACGGGUGAGUAACGCGUGGGAACGUACCUUUUGGUUCGGAACGACACAGGGAAACUUGUGCUAAUACCGGAUAAGCCCUUACGGGGAAAGAUUUAUCGCCGAAAGAUCGGCCCGCGUCUGAUUAGCUAGUUGGUGAGGUAACGGCUCACCAAGGCGACGAUCAGUAGCUGGUCUGAGUGGAUGAUCAGCCACAUUGGGACUGAGACACGGCCCAAACUCCUACGGGAGGCAGCAGUGGGGAAUAUUGGACAAUGGGGGCAACCCUGAUCCAGCCAUGCCGCGUGAGUGAUGAAGGCCCUAGGGUUGUAAAGCUCUUUUGUGCGGGAAGAUAAUGACGGUACCGCAAGAAUAAGCCCCGGCUAACUUCGUG
rnacentral:rRNA from 1 species